rnacentral:rRNA from 1 species
AACGAACGCUGGCGGCAGGCUUAACACAUGCAAGUCGAACGAUGUAGCAAUACAUAGUGGCGCACGGGUGAGUAACGCGUGGGAACAUGCCCUUCAGUCUGGGAUAACAGCGGGAAACUGCUGCUAAUACUGGAUAUUCCCUCCGGGGGAAAGAUUUAUCGCUGAAGGAUUGGCCCGCGUAAGAUUAGGUAGUUGGUGGGGUAAUGGCAUACCAAGCCUACGAUAUUUAGUUGGUCUGAGAGGACGACCAGCCACACUGGAACUGAGACACGGUCCGGACUCCUACGGGAGGCAGCAGUGGGGAAUAUUGGACAAUGGGCGAAAGCCUGAUCCAGCCAUGCCGCGUGAAUGAUGAAGGCCUUAGGGUUGUAAAGUUCUUUUGUCAGGGAAGAUGAUGACGGUACCUGAAGAAUAAGCACCGGCUAACUUCGUGCCAGCCGCCGCCGUAA